GGAGAGAUGGCCGAGUGGUUUAUGGCUCCGGUCUUGAAAACCGGCAUAGUUUCUCAAACUAUCGAGGGUUCGAAUCCCUCCCUCUCCU
rnacentral:tRNA from 1 species